rnacentral:rRNA from 1 species
CCUACGGUAGGCAGCAGUGGGGAAUAAUGCACAAUGGGGGAAACCCUGAUGCAGCGACGCCGCGUGAGUGAAGAAGUAUCUCGGUACGUAAAGCUCUAUCAGCAGGGAAGAUAAUGACGGUACAUGACCAAGAAGCCACGGCUAACUACGUGACAGCAGCCGCGGUAAUACGUAGGGGGCAAGCGUUAUCCGGAUUUACUGGGUGUAAAGGGAGCGUAGACGGCAGCACAAGUCUGGAGUGAACUCCCGGGGCUUAACCCCGGAACUGCUUUGGAAACUGUGCGGCGGGAGGGCAGGAGGGGUAAGCGGAAUUCCUAGUGUAGCGGUGAAAUGCGUAGAUAUUAGGAGGAACACCGGUGGCGAAGGCGGCUUACUGGACUGUAACUGACGUUGAGGCUCGAAAGCGUGGGGAGCAAACAGGAUUAGAUACCCUGGUAGUC